rnacentral:rRNA from 1 species
UACAGAGGUCCCAAGCGUUGUUCGGAUUCACUGGGCGUAAAGGGCGCGUAGGCGGUCGGGUAAGUCUGACGUGAAAUCUUCAAGCUCAACUUGGAAACUGCGUCGGAUACUAUUCGGCUAGAGGAAUGGAGGGGAGACUGGAAUACUUGGUGUAGCAGUGAAAUGCGUAGAUAUCAAGUGGAACACCAGUGGCGAAGGCGAGUCUCUGGACAUUUCCUGACGCUGAGGCACGAAAGCCAGGGGAUCAAACGGG